GACGAACGCUGGCGGCGUGCCUAACACAUGCAAGUCGAACGCGAAAGGGGGCUUGCCCCCAAGUAAAGUGGCGCACGGGUGAGUAACGCGUGGGUAACCAACCCCUAGGUGGGGGAUAACGGCCCGAAAGGGACGCUAAUCCCGCAUAAGACCACGAUAGCGCAGGCUAUUGGGGCCAAAGGAGUGAUUCGCCUAGGGACGGGCCCGCGUCCCAUCAGCUAGUUGGUAGGGUAACGGCCUACCAAGGCAGUGACGGGUAGCUGGUCUGAGAGGAUGAUCAGCCACACUGGGACUGGAACACGGCCCAGACUCCUACGGGAGGCAGCAGUGAGGAAUUUUGGACAAUGGGCGAAAGCCUGAUCCAGCAACGCCGCGUGAGUGAUGAAGGCCCUCGGGUUGUAAAGCUCUUUCAGGGGGGAUGAGAAAGGACGGUACCCCCACAAGAAGCACCGGCUAACUCCGUG
rnacentral:rRNA from 1 species